CCAAACUUGGUCAUUUAGAGGAAGUAAAAGUCGUAACAAGGUUUCCGUAGGUGAACCUGCGGAAGGAUCAUCAACAAAUCCAAACUUUGUCCUCAUUAUACCUUUGUGAACCCCCCCUCUUAAAUGGAAAUCGAAAGAUGGAAAGUUUUGAGGGGGGUCAAUAUGGGGUAUAUUCUGGCCUUCUCCAGUUCGGUCGUGGAUUGCGAUUAGGUUAGUUAUACCUCUUUUUUUUUAAACCCUGAUUUUCAAUUGUGGACUGAUUGUUUUGUUUUUUCUUUUUUUCGUGUAAAAAAAGAAAUCUUAACCAAAAACAACUUUUAACAAUGGAUCUCUUGGUUCUCGCAUCGAUGAAGAACGCAGC
rnacentral:misc_RNA from 1 species